CUAAAGAGGGUUAAAGUCCAGCAUUCAUCAGCCUGCAGCAACAGAUCACUGCUUUUUUUCUUCUCUCAGGCGUGUUGUGCUCAGCUGCUGUUAUACCAGCCACUGUUUGACGCAUCCAAGCCUGAGAGUGCAGCAGAUGGCUCACAACAUCUUCAACCUGACACCACAUCCUAACCAGGUCUGUGUCUCAGUGGAGGAAUGGAAGAAACUGUCACAGAAGGGACUGCUGUCUCCGCUCUUGGCAGCCUGAUUGUUUUUCCGCUGGAAAAAUGUGGCCAGCUGCAGAGUGUUGUAAAGACAGACAAUUAAACAGACGACAUGGGAGAUCUAUAUUCAGUUAUUCUUCUUGAACUAUGAGCGUCUUCAUGUUUAAACACAGCAUAGGGUUGCUAGUUGUAGUCCAUAGUUACUAGAGAAGAGUCAACCAAACAUCCCGUUUUUUUGGUGGUUGUUUUUGUACUAUGCAUUCAAAACAUCUGGAAAGAGAAUUAACACUUAACAUGCUACAUAUAGCACAUACUUAAAAAGCCCUUUAUUUCAUUGCAUACUGUGUAUGAUUUCAA